rnacentral:rRNA from 1 species
ACUAAAUAGAUACCCGGGUAGUCCACGCCCUAAACGAUGUCUACUAGUUGUUGGUGGAGUAAAAUCCAUGAGUAAACGCAGCUAAACGCGUGAAGUAGACCGCCUGGGGAGUACGGUCGCAAGAUUAAAACUCAAAGGAAUUGACGGGGGCCCGGCACAAGCGGUGGAUUAUGUGGAUUAAUUCGAUGCAACGCGAAAAACCUUACCUGGCCUUGACAUGCCACUAACGAAGCAGAGAUGCAUUAGGUGCCCGUAAGGGAAAGUGGACACAGGUGCUGCAUGGCUGUCGUCAGCUCGUGUCGUGAGAUGUUGGGUUAAAGUCCCGCAACGAGCGCAACCCUUGCCAUUAAUUGCCAUCAUUUAGUUGGGCACUUUAAUGGGACUGCCGGUGACAAACCGGA